rnacentral:rRNA from 1 species
UACGAAGGGGGCUAGCGUUGCUCGGAAUUACUGGGCGUAAAGGGCGCGUAGGCGGCCCCUCAAGUCAGGCGUGAAAUUCCCGGGCUCAACCUGGGGACUGCGCUUGAGACUGGGGGGCUAGAGGCCGAGAGAGGGUGGUGGAAUUCCCAGUGUAGAGGUGAAAUUCGUAGAUAUUGGGAAGAACACCGGUGGCGAAGGCGGCCACCUGGCUCGGUACUGACGCUGAGGCGCGACAGCGUGGGGAGCAAACAGG